rnacentral:rRNA from 2 species
CAAAGCCGCACAUGGCUCAUUACAACAGCCACAGUUUAUUAGAUCGUACUUUCCUACUUGGAUAACUGUGGUAAUUCUAGAGCUAAUACACGCAGCAAAGCUCGGACUUACGAACGAGCGCAUUUAUUAGAGCAAAACCAAUCGGGCUUCGGCCCGUACUUUGGUGAAUCUGAAUAACUCUGCAGAUCGCACGGUCUCGCACCGGCGACGCAUCUUUCAAAUGUCUGCCUUAUCAACUUUCGAUGGUAGUUUAUACGCCUACCAUGGUUGUAACGGGUAACGGAGAAUAAGGGUUCGACUCCGGAGAGGGAGCCUGAGAAACGGCUACCACAUCCAAGGAAGGCAGCAGGCACGCAAAUUACCCACUCCCGGCACGGGGAGGUAGUGACGAAAAAUAACGAGGCGGUUCUCUACGAGGCCCGCCAUCGGAAUGGGUACAAUUUAAAUCCUUUAACGAGGAUCUAUUGGAGGGCAAGUCUGGUGCCAGCAGCCGCGGUAAUUCCAGCUCCAAUAGCGUAUAUUAAAGUUGUUGCGGUUAAAAAGCUCGUAGUUGGAUCUGCGGUCAAGGGAAUCGGUCCUCCGACGGAUGGUACUGGUUUUCCUGACCUAACUACUUCGGUUUUCCCUUGAUGCUCUUAACCGGGUGUCUUGGGCGACCGAAACGUUUACUUUGAAAAAAUUAGAGUGCUCAAAGCAGGCGUUCAGCCUGAAUAGUGGUGCAUGGAAUAAUAAAAGAGGAUCUCGGUUCUAUUUUGUUGGUAUUGGAUUGAGAUAAUGAUCGAUGGGGAUAGACGGGGGCAU